rnacentral:rRNA from 1 species
CGCGAAGCUCAGGAGCUUGCUCCUGAGAUUCGAGCGGCGGACGGGUGAGUAACACGUAGGCAACCUACCCUUGAGAUUGGGAUAACUACCGGAAACGGUAGCUAAUACCGGAUACGACAUUCCUGCAUAAGUAAGAAUGUUAAAAGGCGGAUUUAUCUGCCGCUCAUGGAUGGGCCUGCGGUGCAUUAGCUAGUUGGUGAGAUAGUAGCUCACCAAGGCGACGAUGCAUAGCCGACCUGAGAGGGUGAUCGGCCACACUGGGACUGAGACACGGCCCAGACUCCUACGGGAGGCAGCAGUAGGGAAUCUUCCGCAAUGGACGCAAGUCUGACGGAGCAACGCCGCGUGAGUGAUGAAGGGUUUCGGCUCGUAAAACUCUGUUGUUAAGGAAGAACACUUGAGGUAGUAACUGGCCUUGAGAUGACGGUACUUAACCAGAAAGCCACGGCUAACUACGUGCCAGCAGCCGCGGUAAUACGUAGGUGGCAAGCGUUAUCCGGAAUUAUUGGGCGUAAAGCGCGCGUAGGCGGUAAAAUAAGUCUGAUGUGAAAGCCCCCGGCUCAACCGGGGAGGGUCAUUGGAAACUGUUUUACUUGAGUACAGAAGAGGAGAGUGGAAUUCCAUGUGUAGCGGUGAAAUGCGCAGAGAUAUGGAGGAACACCAGUGGCGAAGGCGGCUCUCUGGUCUGUAACUGACGCUGAGGUGCGAAAGCGUGGGGAUCAAACAGGAUUAGAUACCCUGGUAGUCCACGCCGUAAACGAUGAGUGCUAAGUGUUGGGGGGUUUCCGCCCCUCAGUGCU